GCGUCCUUGGUGUAGCGGUAACACACAAUCUACUUCUUUCGAAAGAUGGUGUUUUCUAAGAUUGGGUCUGGCGUUCGAUUCCCCGAGGGUGCA